UACGGGGGGAGCAAGCGUUGUUCGGAUUUACUGGGCGUAAAGGGCGCGUAGGCGGCCAGCACAAGUCAGUUGUGAAAUCUCCGAGCUUAACUCGGAAAGGUCAACUGAUACUGUGCGGCUAGAGUGCGGAAGGGGCAACUGGAAUUCUUGGUGUAGCGGUGAAAUGCGUAGAUAUCAAGAGGAACGCCUGCGGCGAAGGCGGGUUGCUGGGCCGACACUGACGCUGAGGCGCGAAAGCCAGGGGAGCGAACGGG
rnacentral:rRNA from 1 species